rnacentral:miRNA from 1 species
AAUUGCCCAAUCCUUUCUAGUCGU